UCAUUUUUCACAAACCCUACAUACCAAUUUCCUAAUUCUGCUUCUUCCUUUUUCACCGAUCCUUCUUCCUUCUUCAUCGAUCGAUUACCGAUUCCUACGAUGUUUUGUUUUGAAGUGUUAAUCAGGGUUUCUGGCAAUGUAUUGAACAUCACCCAGAUGAUGAUAAAGAAAAGAGCCCAAGUAAGUUUUUCUUUUCUGAAUUAAGGGUUUAUUAAUUGUGUCAGAAUUGUUUUGUUUAAGGUCCCCAGAUUGAGAAGAAGAGCGUCGAUGUUGUUUGGACGAGGGUAGGUUUCAGCAGAUUUGAAGAUGAGUUUUUUUUCUGGACAACAUUCUUCAUCCGACAACUAAGGUAUGAAUUGAAUCACUGAUCUCGAGCUUCUUCUCAUGUCCAUGAUUGUGAUUGAUUUUUUUUCAAAAUUAUUUAGAUAUUGAUUAUAUUAUGAAUAUAUUAAGCUCACUGGUUUUGAAUUUAAGUUUGAAUGAUAUUCAACUAUUUAAGUAUAUUGUUUUGACUAAUUAUUUCAAAAUUUGAAUUUUUGAAAUUUAUAUCAAUUAUGGAUGGAUACUUAUCAAAGUUGUCUAAUUUGUAACGGAUUUCCAAAUUUAUCGAGAUAACUUAUAUUAAAGUUUUAAUUGCUUCCAAAUUUUGUGUGAUUUCCAUAAUUUUCGACAAUCACAUUAUUUUUCAAGUUUCUAAGAAUUUGGAAAGAUAUAUAGCAUCUGUUUUAAACCUAAAUGACCUCUCUGUAUGUCAAACAUGGUUUGGUUGUUGACGCACAAGCCAAUUAAACCACCCCAUCAAAUCAAGUAAGUAAGUCAAUAGAUUAAUUUAAGUGUAGUCUAGGUUUUAACUGCUACUGAGUUGUUGAAUCUGCAGUGUUUUGGGCUUAUGUGUCGUGUUCUGAUUACCUGUACUUUUUUGAGUCAAAUAGUUAUAUUAUUCUUAGGAUGAUCAUUCAGCUUUGUUGAGCUUGCAAGUAUGUUUAUUUAUCCAUUACAUCUACAAUACGUUAUCAAAAGUAUUUUAUAAAAGGUUUAUUGUGGUUACCGUUUAGGGAUUGUGUAUCCGAACCGAUUAUACCUUCAAUUUAGUUUAGGAUAUCUUUUUGAUGUUUUGUUAUUUGAUUACUGUUGUCAUCUCAGAUCUGCAAGCCGCAUAUCAUAUCAAAUGAAAAAAUAAAUUGAAGGUUAGGGACUUAGAGUGUCGACACACUUCUGGUGUUGGAUUAUCGACACCUGCAUCUUAAAUGAAGAUGAUUUUAUGCAAAAAUUCAUGAAGUUGCAAAAGUGUAUAUUCUGACCACAUGAGUUUUUAUUCGUGAAGUUGCAAAAGUGUAUAUUCUGAACACAUGAGUUUUUGUUUAGAAUGGGAACAUUAGCAUACCAAGUAUGCUUUGCUCAAUUAUUGUUUCAGUUUGAUACCAGUUUUCUGAUUGUUGGAUGGGUUGGGGACUAACUUCUAAAAUGACUCUUUAUAUGAAAUCAUCUCUAUUUGGUUUUGUAGAUUGAAGGUUCAUAUCUUGAAGAUGGUAAAAGUCUCAACAAUUGGGAUGUGUUUUCUCUUUAAUAUUUUCAUUUUAGGUUUUAUUUAUCCAUUUUUAUGUCAAUUUGUGUAUUUUCAUGUUUGUUUUUAAUGUGCAGGCAACAUUUGAAAUGGUGACAAUGGAUUCGUAGCUGCUGACCAAUAUCACCAAAUAUUUAGUAUCUUUCUUUUUUAUUCAUUUUUCUCUAAUCUAUAUAAAAAUGUUACUUUCAGGUUCUGGAAAACUAUUUGAAUCUGAUUAACCAACAGUAGUUGCAGAGACAUUGUUUCUCUAUAUCAUGGUCAAUAAUUCUUCUAGAUGCAAUGGAUUGUGCCUUGGAGCUGAUUAAAAGGAAGAGAAAACAUUCAUUUUGACAUGGGAAACAGUAAAUUACGCUACGCAUCAGCAGCAGCAGGAAUCCGAGAGGGUAUAGAUUUGUUGAAUGUUUUGAGGAAUGUGAAAUUUUGAUACUCUUUUCAACAUGAUCGCAAAGUGUAAGCCUUAAAGCUUCCAUUACUCAGGAGGAGUGAGGCCUAUUCUCAAGACAAGUCAUCAAGGAAAUGGGUAUGUAUUUGAUUUGAGUUUUUGAAGAAUUAUCUACAUCAAACAUGACAUAAUGUAUAUUAUAAAGAAUAUGGUUAAAUAAAUAAAAUAACAUCAUAUAUGUGUAACAUCCAUCUCAUUAUUUAAGAUUUUAAUAUAAAAUCUUCAUUUUCAAAGCCAAAAUGAAUAAUUACAAAACUUAGUUAUAAAAACUAAGAUUACAUAAAUAAGUUGUUCUAAAAUUACCAACUGACUAGUUUAAAACAUUCAACAUAUAGUUAGUGUUCACAAAAUAAACAUCAUCUAAAACAAGAUUAAAUUAGCGCGGAAGCUUCAAAAAUUUGUGUUCGGUUCUUGAUUUCUUGCUUGAUCGGCAUCCGAAAUGAGACGAAUAUCACCUAAGGUCAAAACCACAAUAAAUAUUAGUUUUGACAACAAUAAAAUGUAUAUAAACAUGUUCUAGUAUCAUACAUAU
rnacentral:lncRNA from 1 species